rnacentral:lncRNA from 1 species
CCAUUAAAAAGGCCCUUUCAAUGUAUUCGGAUCUGGGAAUAUUGGUAGGAGGAAUGGAUUUUGACUGGGCUGGUGAAAAUGUAGGAGUUGAAGUUCGUGCUUCUGGGUAAGUGAUUUGAUGGAUUGGGGAUUGAGAUGGUGAGCGGAUAUUCAAGGGUGAAGAUUCCCCUUCAUAAGGAACUAAAGAAUGCAUGGGUUG